AGCAAAUGAAUCAAAACUUUCAACAACGGAUCUCUUGGUUCUGGCAUCGAUGAAGAACGCAGCGAAAUGCGAUAAGUAAUGUGAAUUGCAGAAUUCAGUGAACCAUCGAAUCUUUGAACGCACAUUGCGCCCGCCAGCACUCUGGCGGGCAUGCCUGUCCGAGCGUCAUCUCAACCC
rnacentral:rRNA from 2 species